AUAUCUUUCUCGGCCUUCUAGCAAAGAUUAAGUGUAGUAUCCGUUCUUAUUAGUUUAAUAUUUGUUAUGUGUGCAAUUAGUUCUCUGUUUAUUAAAUUAAUAAUUUUUUAAGGGGAGGGCCCACUACAGUUGCUUGCCACUGGGGCCUUUAAUGUGUUUCCUUGGUGUUGCACUAUUGCAUUGGCUUGGCGCACCCCAA